rnacentral:rRNA from 1 species
GACGAACGCUGGCGGCGUGCUUAACACAUGCAAGUCGAACGGAAAGGCCUCUUUCGGGGGGUACUCGAGUGGCGAACGGGUGAGUAACACGUGAGUAACCUGCCCUUGACUUUGGGAUAACUUCAGGAAACUGGGGCUAAUACCGGAUAGGAGCUCCUGCUGCAUGGUGGGGGUUGGAAAGUUUCGGCGGUUGGGGAUGGACUCGCGGCUUAUCAGCUUGUUGGCGGGGUAGUGGCUUACCAAGGCUUUGACGGGUAGCCGGCCUGAGAGGGUGACCGGCCACAUUGGGACUGAGAUACGGCCCAGACUCCUACGGGAGGCAGCAGUGGGGAAUAUUGCACAAUGGGUGGAAGCCUGAUGCAGCAACGCCGUGUGUGGGAUGACGGCCUUCGGGUUGGAAACCGCUUUCGCUCAUGACGAAGCUUUGUGUGACGGUAGUGGGUAAAGAAGCACCGGCUAACUACGUG